CAACUCCAGCAGGCUCUUGCCUCCCUCCCUUCCCCCAGACUGCUUUCAUCAAGAUCUCCAGGGCCCUCCAUGAUGCUAAAUUCAAUUCCUAGUCCCCAUCAGCCCUCUGCCCACCAGCUGCGUUUGACACAAUGGGCCUCUCUCUGUCCUGAGACACCUUCUUCACUUAGUCUCCAGGACACUUCCUUUGCCGGAUUCCUCUCCUGAUUCUCAGGCUGUUCUUCUCAGUCUCUUUUGCUGGCUCACCUUCACCUCUCUAAUGUCUAAAUGGUGGUGUUCCCUAGAGUUCAUUUCUUAACUCCUAUUUUCUACCUAUACUUACUCCACGGCGUUCUCAUCCUGUCCCGUGGAUUUAAAUACCGUCUACAUGUUGAUGAUUCCUGGCUCUAGUCCAGACCUCUCUCUUUAGUUUGUAUAUCUAAAUGCCUACUUGAUAUCCCCAUUGGAAUGUCUAACAGACAUCUCAGCUGAACCAUGUCCAAAACUGAGCUUCUAAUCUUUCCUGCAAACCUGCUUUCCUACAGUCCAUCUUCCCCAUCUCAGUUAAUGGCAACUCUAUUUUUGCAGUUGUUUAGGUAAAAAAAAAAACUUGGUGUUAUCUCUCACACUCCACAAGGAAUGUGUCAGGAAGCCCCAUCAGCUCUACUUUCAGGAGGUCUCCAGAAUCCAACCACUUCUCACCAAGCUGUUCCCCGUCACUACCACCUCUUGCCUGGAUUACUACAGUGACGUGUAACCAGUGUCCAUGCUUCAUGCCCUCAUUUGCUUCUAGUGCCUUUAGAUUCGGACUGGAAUUAGACCGUCCGCUCUCCUGCAUCUUCAGCCUGCCAACCGCAGAUCUUGGGACUUCUUAGUCUCCAUAACCAUGUGAGAGGAGACUGCCAGGAAGACUGAAAGAGGAGGUUCUUCCCGACGGGGGAACAGCAUGUGAAAAGGCAUGGAAGCAAGGAAGGCCCUGGAUGAGUGGGGAAAGGCCAGCUGUUUCAUUUUGUUGGAAGUGUCCAGCCUUGAAAACAAGCAAGCACUCCGUAAGGGCCUUCCAGAGGCCAGUGCUUUCCUGCAUCCUGGGAUUCAACAACAGUGGAAAGAGUCUACACGUGAGGAAACUCUCCAGCAGGGCAUACUCAACUUGCCAAUGUCACACAGCUAGGACAGUCUCCAAAGGUCCAGGCACUUUCCACAACUCAGAACCUGCAUGGAGUGGCUGGCAGAGUUUAAGUGUCACGGAUCUCUACACCUUUUGUGGUUCUCUUAUGGUCAAGAGUCUGCGAGUAAGCCUGGAGUGGUCAGGCUGCCCCUAUGAUUUUACCAUCGAGCACUCACAAAGACAUCUGGGGUUAGUGGGUGCUGAAAUCUAGCUAAUUCACCAAGUCAUAUGCCCUGGCAAAAGGGGGCUGCAUCCAUGGGAAGAGGGGGCACUUGUGUGUGCGUGUGUAUACAAAGGAGGCUUCUACACAAGAUUUGAGCCCACUAGGAUGGAGGGUAGCCAUGUUUCUAAUUCUGUACAAAGUCACCAUAGAGGUCAGAGAGUGCCCUUGGAGGGUGGAUAUAAGUCUAGGAUGACAAAUAGUUUUCAUCCUCUGGGUCAACUCCACCCUUAGUGGCGACUCAGAAUGCUGUGUUGAGGAGGACUCUGAAGUCACAUUUGGGAAGGAAUUCUGCACUCAGUGAUUUCUGUCCCAGGUUGGGGAUGGGGCAGUGGUGUAUGCAGGAGAGUAUCUGCCUUUAGCUAUCACUGCUGUAAGCUGACACCUUCUGUGUCAACACACAGCCCUAAGGAACCCAAUGCCCUGCCCUGGCCCAGAGGGGAGGCAAACCUCAGCCUUCCCAGGGUGUACUUUGCUGUUUAUUCC
ensembl:lncRNA